UAGGGGAUCUUCCACAAUGGACGAAAGUCUGAUGGAGCAACGCCGCGUGAGUGAAGAAGGGUUUCGGCUCGUAAACUCUGUUGUUAAAGAAGAACAUAUCUGAGAGUAACUGUUCAGGUAUUGACGGUACUUAACCAGAAAGCCACGGCUAACUACGUGCCGG
rnacentral:rRNA from 1 species